AAAAAAAAAAAGUUUAUAUUUAAAAUGAAAAACAAAAGAAAAACAUCAACAAAAAAAAAAAAAACCAAAACAAAAACAAAAAUCAGUCACAGAGGCAUUCAAGUAGUAAUAAUGUUAUACAGGUUUUGCUUUUCCUUUAAAUCAAGACAGAUUUGCACAAGUGUAUGCAAUAGUUUGUAUACAACCCACAGUCCUUAAUAUAUAUAUAUAUAUAUAUAUAUCUUUUAGAUUUGUUUUUAAGAUGGAAGUGGUCACACUGAUCGGUGUGUACAGGCCCAAGUGAUCCAUCAGCAACACAUCAAUGAACGCAAAUUUUACAGGUAGGUAAGUUAAUCAGCAUUGAGAACAGCAGUGUCUCAAUCGGGUGCCCAGAGGGGGCCCCGAUGGCCAUCAGCUCCAUCUCAGAGACCUACGCGUUGCGGAGUUGACAGGAGCACAGACAGAUGGAGACCAUACGCUGUCAAAACCAAGCCCCAGACGGAGGGAAGAGAGUAAUGGCUCUGAGCGGGCCUUCAGAAGCAACGUGACGUCAACUGACCUUUGUGUCACCAGAAAAAGUGCAGCCUCUGCUUCACCGGAAUGAACGCAAGAUGCUCCGAAAACAAAACAGCGACCUUUGGUUUGGUACAGGGUGAAGUGUUUUCCCAUUCAAGACAACCUCAGGUGGAACACUAACCAGGUAGUAAACACAAGCGGACUAACGGUAGAAACAAGGCCUUCGUGCUGGGCGCAAGAACUCAAGAGUCAUGUUCAACUUGCCAUCUUAAGAAACCAAAAGUGACUGUGGGGAGGGGAUGCGGUGAGGAGCCCCCUGCUCUGAGAGCCCCCGCAGGGCCCAGCGGCGAUGGCGGGGUCCCUUCGCCGAUGACGGCAGAGGGCCCUUCGUCUGUGACGGCGGGGGAUCCAUCAAUGAUGGCGGAGGAUCCACCAUUGAUGGCGGAGGAUCCACCACUGAUGGCGGGGGAGGCCCUUCACUGAUGGUGGGGGGAAGACGAGCAAAGCCGAGCUCAGCCGCUAGCCACAGGGCUGCCGCGGGCGAGCGAGUGGAGAACGAAACCGGUCACUGC
ensembl:lncRNA